GGCCGGGCCUCCUCCCAGGCAGGGCGCCAGGAGACUCGAGGCCCAGUGGAGGCCCGCCGAGAGCCGCCGCCUUCCCGUUCCUAAGGCCCAGGCCCCGGGGGACUCACCGCGUCCCCCGGAACCUGCAGCUCCUCUGGCCUCCGCCGUCGCCACCGGCCCAGCGCCAGGGGGUCCAUACGGGCCCAGGCCCGAGUCCGCCCAGCCUCUCAUCCCCACAGCCCGCAAGGUGCCGCUGCCGGCCCACGCCGCCGCGACCACGCCCUCUUCGCCCACGUGUCCCGAGGGAGCCAAUGAGGGGCUGGGGGCGGGGCGCCGCAAGGAACCCUUGAGACCCGGCGGGCCCUGGCGGCAGGCAGGAGUAGCGGAGGCCAGAGCCUUGAGGAGACGAGGAGGCCGAGGGAACCACCCCUCCGGAGAGAAGCCGAGCCCACCCCGCCCCCACCCCAUCUGCCUGAUUCCGGUCCCUCAGGGCACUCAUGCCUGGAUGGUGGGAGGCUUUCUUUUUUUAUCCAUUGAUGUUCCAUAUCCCCUCCAGAAGGGCUGUUCUCCACUGGGCAGAUCCAGGCCUGCAGUUGGCACUCAGGAAAUAACCAUACACUGGGCGUUAACAGACUUUAGUGGUCAAUUUUGCACCAUUGAUUUCACUUCAUCCUUGCAGCAACACAGCAGGGCCCGGGCUGUCUUCAUGUUCAGAUAAAGGAACAGAGAAACGUCAGGCUCAGAGAUGUUGCCUACGGUGCCCAGGGCUGCAAAAGGUUGAAGGGCGGACCUGAAUUCAGACACAACUCUGUCUGGAUUUCUUACGCUUCUGCUGGCCUUGCCUUUGGUUCCGGUGGAAAGCCUCCUUGUUAAGCUGCAAACCCCGUGAGUUUGAUCAAACAAACAAACAACAACAGUUCAACAAACAAAACAGCUCUGCUAGUUGCCCCAAGGCCCUUAAUUUCACCACACAAUUUUCCAGACGCUGCUGGCAGGUACAGAGUCCCAGUCGGCUUCCUCAAGGUAGGAAGGGCCAGCUCUGCUCACGGUGCUCCCUGGACACUCCAGACAUCCACUCUGUGAGGUGACAUCUCCAGGCAAAAGCAGCCUAUGAAAGUGCCAAGGUCAGCGGGACAGAGGGCCUGUGAACUCAAGCGUAGGUGGAAGGAUUCUCUUUGAGACGUGACAUCUUGGAGCCACACGGCCCAAAGGAGCUUGCCUGGUUGAAUAAAGAAACCACUCAACAAAGAAUGCUCCUUCCCCAGCCUGAAGAAGCGGCUGGUGCCACCUACAGCCUGGAAACUGGCUCUACAAUCCUCACCUGCCGCCCUGGCUGGUCUUCCGUGGAAGAGAGAUUAGAAUUGAUGCAGGGGAUGGAAAAUGGGCAGUCAACUCUCAAGAUGAAUUUUCCCUGAUAAAUUGUCAACAGCUAGAAACGUGUUU